rnacentral:tRNA from 4 species
GUGGGUGUAGCUCAGCUGGUAGAGCACCUGGUUGUGGUCCAGGUGGUCGCGGGUUCGAGUCCCGUCACUCACCCCA